GAUGAACGCUGGCGGCGCGCCUAACACAUGCAAGUCGAACGGAGCUAUCUUAUUAGAUCCCUUCGGGGUGAAGAUUUUUUAACUUAGUGGCGAACGGGUGAGUAACGCGUGAGUAACCUGCCUUCAAGAGGGGGACAACAGUUGGAAACGACUGCUAAUACCGCAUAAUAUAUCGAGAUCGCAUGAUAUUGAUAUCAAAGGAGCAAUCCGCUUGAAGAUGGACUCGCGUCUGAUUAGAUAGUUGGUGAGGUAACGGCUCACCAAGUCUACGAUCAGUAGCCGGACUGAGAGGUCGAUCGGCCACAUUGGGACUGAGACACGGCCCAGACUCCUACGGGAGGCAGCAGUGGGGAUAUUGGUCAAUGGGGGAAACCCUGAACCAG
rnacentral:rRNA from 1 species